AACGAAAUUUCUCUUUGUCUUUUUACAAUUAGUUCUGCUCGACAGCUCUGAAACAAAGAGAAAUCGAAAUUUCUCUUUGUUUCAGAGCUCUCGAGCAGAACUAAUUGUAAAAAGAC